UACGUAGGGGGCAAGCGUUGUCCGGAAUCAUUGGGCGUAAAGAGCGUGUAGGCGGUCCGGUAAGUCGGCUGUGAAAGUCCAGGGCUCAACCCUGGGACUGCCGGUCGAUACUGCCGGACUAGAGUUCGGAAGAGGCGAGUGGAAUUCCCGGUGUAGCGGUGAAAUGCGCAGAUAUCGGGAGGAACACCUAUGGCGAAGGCAGCUCGCUGGGACGUUACUGACGCUGGAGACGGCGAAAGCGUGGGGGAGCAAACAGG
rnacentral:rRNA from 1 species